UACGUAGGGUGCGAGCGAUAAUCGGAAUUACUGGGCGUAAAGCGUGCGCAGGCGGUUCGUUGUGUCGGUGGUGAAAGCCCCGGGCUUAACCUGGGAAUGGCCAUGGAAACUGGCGAACUGGAGUGUGGCAGAGGGGGGUGGAAUUCCGCGUGUAGCAGUGAAAUGCGUAGAGAUCGGGAGGAACACCAGAGGCGAAGGCGGCGACCUGGACAGAUACUGACACUCAACUACGAAAGCGUGGGGAGCAAACAGG
rnacentral:rRNA from 1 species